ACGGGAGGCAGCAGUGGGGAAUAUUGGGCAAUGGGCGAAAGCCUGACCCAGCAACGCCGCGUGAAGGAAGAAGGUCUUCGGAUUGUAAACUUCUUUUCUGAGGGACGAAGGACGUGACGGUACCUCAUGAAUAAGCCACGGCUAACUACGCGCCAGCAGCCGCGGUAAUACGUAGGUGGCAAGUGUCAUCCGGAUUUACUGGGUGUAAAGGGCGCGUAGGCGGGAGAGCAAGUCAGAUGUGAAAUCCAUGGGCUUAACCCAUGAACUGCAUUUGAAACUGUUCUUCUUGAGUGCUGGAGAGGUAGACGGAAUUCCUUGUGUAGCGGUGAAAUGCGUAGAUAUUAGGAGGAACACCAGUGGCGAAGGCGGCUUACUGGACUGUAACUGACGUUGAGGCUCGAAAGCGUGGGGAGCAAACAGGAUUAGAUACCCUGGUA
rnacentral:rRNA from 1 species